rnacentral:lncRNA from 1 species
GCUUUGCUGGCUCCUUGACUUCUUUCUUUGGUUCAUCCUUGUGCUUUGGUUUGGCAUGUUCUUUUGGCAGGGCAGGCUUCUUUGCAGACGAAACAGGUGGGACUGAUGCAGUUUGCUUUACCUCACCCAAGAUCUUGCUGAAAUUUGGUUGAUUAACCAUGGUCCAGAAGUAUCUCUCAAGAUGAGGGAACUCCGAGGUCUCUUAGUCAUGAGCUGACUGAAUCCCGUAUACAAAUUGCAUGUCAUGACAAUGUCAGCCAGGGUGACAGAAUGCCCCACCAGGAAAGUGUUUGAAGCAAGAUGUGUGUUCAAAGCACCUAAUGCUCUCUUCAACGCAGCAAUUGCAGCCUCCUCAAACUAUACACAGAAAACUAUGAUCAGGAAGGAUUAAACAAUCAAGGAGCUAAACUGGAAAGCAAAAUGGUAGAAUGCAUUUUUGAUUUAAGAACAUUAAAAUUUUUGUGAAGAAUAAUAGAUUAAAGAACAAUAUUACAACUACAAAUGAACCGUAAAAAUGUCUUUACUUAGGAGUAUAGUUUAUCAUUAUGUCAUAGUAAAUGACACAUGAAAAAUGAAUCAUUCCAUUAAUUUGUGAUCACAUGGGAAGGCACAUGUCCAUCCUCUCAAGAGAAGUCCCUGUGCCAUCACCAGCAUUGUGGGAACAAAAAAAGAAGAAAUCCAUGUUUGGUUUCUGCAUAUAAAAAGGAAAUAGACAGGGAACACAAGAAACAUUGAAAUAAAUAUCUGUCUCCUGAGCAAAGAGACAUUGAAGGAAACAAAAGAAGCUACAAACAAUGCAAUUAUGAAAGGUAUUUUCUUUGGCACCCCCUUUCUUUGGGGCUCAUUUAAUAGAGUUGCUCUGUUUGCAAUUAAAAGAAAAUCAAAAGGUAAUUCUUCACCUUCCUGUUAACAUUGCACAUACUAUCACUUCAUGGCAAUUAUUGAAUGCUGCUAAAGCUGUGUUUCACAAUAAUAUGCUUUGAGAUCACCCUAACUUGGAGAAAAACAAAAUCAUUUGCAUGGAGGUGUAAAGAGAAAAACAUGACAAUUUUUUUUUUAAAAUAUAAGUUUUCCAUUAUCCAGGAACCUUCAAGAAUAGAAACUCUGGGUCAAAUGAUUCUGUGGAAACUAUUUCUUUAUUUGAAUUGAGCUUUCAGGUUUCAGAAAAUAAAAACAAAAAGCAACAUAACUUUCAAAGUUCUCUUUUCCUUCUUCUUACAGAAAUCAAACCGAGUGACUUGGUAAAAUUACCAAAAUUUCAAAAUUUUCAACAUAUGUGACCCAAAAUAAAGAAGACCCUCCAGUACCAGUUGGCUUAUUUGAAUUAUUCAAAACCCAAAGAAAGGUCCAAAAUUUUCUUCUCUUUCUCCUCUUCUCUCAGCAAUUAUGAAUCUUUAAGACUUCCCAAUGUACGCCACUACCAUGCCCCGUAGCCGAGAUUAAAUGUUCAAUUAUUUAACCAACAAACCGACACCAGGAAAAAUAAAAAAUAAAACAAAAACAAAACAAAGGAACGUUUUAUUUUCUCUAAUUUUCCUCAAUUUUCUCAGCAACCAAACCGAUGGCACAAGCAAUCGCAGUGUGUAAAAAAUCCGAUCCGCAAACCAACUUAUCAAUCCAAAGAGCUUUCACAAAGAAGGAAAAAAAAAAAAGAUACGCGGUAUAGAAUUACAACCCUAACAAAAAAUGAAAAGCAUAAUUUGAGGUUAGAGCACAAAUAAUAAUAAUAAUAAUAAUUUCAGAAAAUUAUUCCCAACAAAAAAAAAAAAAAACAACAACAACUCUAAUUCCAAAAUUGGAUCUGAAUUAGGUCCAAAAGCAUACAACGGUAACAAACAUCAUGAAAUUUGUCCGAAAAAAAUGGUUUCAGAAACAGAAAGGACAAUCAAAAUGACCUGUACAUAACUGUUGAAAUUUGGAUUCGGAAGAGAGAGAUAGAUCUGAGAGACGAACCUGAAAAGAAUUGCAGAGAAAUCGAAGAGACCAACAACAGGAUUUGCAGAGAUCUCCGGCUCGAAGCUUCCAUCAUCCCUCUCUACUUUCUCUCUCUAAAGCCCUCUCUCUCUUUCUCAGUGUUUUAAAAACCGGACCGGAGCGGCCGGUCCAACCGACGACCGGUCGCAAUUCCGCUCCGGUUUACCCUAUUAGACCGUUUUAACAUUGAACCUGACGCCUAAACCAACUGUCGGACCGGUAAACCGAUAACACCAGAGAGUUCCAAACGAACCGAACGGAACAAGUUGGCCCAUCAUUUUGCAUGCGACCCCAUUAUGUAAAAACUGUAAGCAAAUACCCAUACUGGUCCAUGACUUAAUAUGACAGAACCCACACCCAGACCUUUUAAGUGGGCUGAGCCUUGAGCCCAC